CUAAUAAAGUGGACAGUUAGAGUAUGCAUUAAUGUUGCCAUACAAUAUUCUUUCCACAUCUAUUCAGCUCAGUAGAGGACUCUUUAGCUUGAAAAUUAAUAGUCAAUUUUUUUUUUUAAGUCCCUACUGAAAUUCUAUCUGACCCAAAAUGCACUUUCAGGGGACAUAUCUCUCUCCCGCUAAAUAUCACUCUACAUGCCUUUGAUUCUCUGUUCCCCUUGACAGUGGUGUGUCUGAUGUGCCUCAGCUGCCAAGAGUGACUGGCAGCGAUUCUGUAUGAGUCAAAGCCAGCAGCUGCUAGAUGAUGGUGUAGCAACAAAGGCUUCUACCAGAUGGAUUGCAAUCAUUAUUCCUCUCUAGAAGGAAAAAGAGUGGUAGAGAGUUCAGAAGUUGUAAGCACAAGUUCAGCACAACAGCUCAGUAAGUCUGAGAAGAGCAGGUGUGCGACAUAAACCUGAGCUACUAAAACAUGUAUUCUUACAAUGUCACUUAAAGCUUCAUGGUGUUAAGCUGAGGUAAGAUAUUUGUUUAUUUACAUUCUCAUUGUCACUGAAUAUUAUUGUUUUUUGCCUCACUCUAUAUAUAUAUUUUUUAACUAUAUAACAAUUUUAUAAUGCUAUAAUUGAAGAAAGAAUGUAGCCUUAUCAGUGACUUGCUUUUGUUGUGGCAUUACAGGUUUAAUGCAUGGACUUGCCUAAACACACUGAGCGUUAAAGGGAAAGGAACCACAAGCAAAGCCAGUUAAAUAGACUAAAAAAACACACCGCACGAGUGUAACGAAGAGGAAACAUACCUUUCUGUCAACCAGGAAACAAAAAGGAAACCUGAGGUAAACAGAACAGACGAUAUACAGUACCUGGCGCGCGCUUGGGUGCUCGCUGCUUCCUCCUGGCCAUACUUGUAAAGGCAGAGUGCUCGGUCCUCACCAAUUCCACCACUUAUUUCAACCCCCUACAAGCUAGCGCUGUCUCUACAGCGCUAACGCACGUUCACCACGUUAAAAACGGAGCAGGUGGAAUGGUUUUGAGCUGCUGUUCUUUCUUCUUGUCGUCCGGUGAAACGAUAAGCGAGCAGGAAGGAGUCACGCGCUUCAGAGCGCGCUCCGGGCUCAUCACGUCACUCAAAAGUCCGCGAGCUAGAUUUCCCCCAGCAGCUGUCGGACACUCCCACGCCACGUUUCUGCUACAACAUGCUUGAUAUGAUCCCUUUAGUACACUGGUGAUUUGACUAAAACUCGAGGGCGUUU
ensembl:lncRNA